rnacentral:rRNA from 1 species
UUGGGCCUGGCUGGCCGGUCCGCCUCACCGCGUGUACUGGUCCGGCCGGGCCUUUCCCUCUGUGGAACCUCAUGCCCUUCACUGGGUGUGGCGGGGAAACAGGACUUUUACUUUGAAAAAAUUAGAGUGCUCCAGGCAGGCCUAUGCUCGAAUACAUUAGCAUGGAAUAAUAAAAUAGGACGUGUGGUUCUAUUUUGUUGGUUUCUAGGACCGCCGUAAUAAUUAAUAGGGACAGUCGGGGGCAUCAGUAUUCAAUUGUCAGAGGUGAAAUUCUUGGAUUUAUUGAAGACUAACUACUGCGAAAGCAUUUGCCAAGGAUGUUUUCAUUAAUCAGGAACGAAAGUUAGGGGAUCGAAGACGAUCAGAUACCGUCGUAGUCUUAACCAUAGACUAUGCCGACUAGGGAUCGGACGAUGUUAUUUUUUGACGCGUUCGG